rnacentral:rRNA from 1 species
UCCGCAGGGUGCAAGCGUUACUCGGAAUUACUGGGCGUAAAGCGUGCGUAGGUGGUUCGUUAAGUCUGAUGUGAAAGCCCUGGGCUCAACCUGGGAAUGGCAUUGGAAACUGGCGGACUAGAGUGCGGUAGAGGGUAGCGGAAUUCCCGGUGUAGCAGUGAAAUGCGUAGAGAUCGGGAGGAACAUCCGUGGCGAAGGCGGCUACCUGGACCAGCACUGACACUGAGGCACGAAAGCGUGGGGAGCAAACAGG